rnacentral:rRNA from 1 species
UACGUAGGGUGCGAGCGUUAAUCGGAAUUACUGGGCGUAAAGCGUGCGCAGGCGGCGCGUUAAGACAGGUGUGAAAGCCCCCGAGCUUAACUUGGGGAAUUUGCGCUUGUGACUGGCGUGCUGGAGUGUGGCAGAGGGAGGUGGAAUUCCACGUGUAGCAGUGAAAUGCGCAGAUAUCAGGAGGAACACCGGUGGCGAAGGCGGGUCUCUGGGCCGUAACUGGACGCUGAGGAGCGAAAGCUGGGGAGCAAACGGG